rnacentral:sRNA from 1 species
CUAUUGCGUUAGGGGGUGAAGUGAAAAUCCUUUUUUGAGGUUCUUCGCCGAAAAAAAGAUUGUAACGAAAAACCCGACCUGCA